GACAAAUGUAUGAUUCGAUUGUAUAAUUAAGUCAAUCCUUCAAUCGUAAACAGUGAAAUCACCUAUUAAAAAAGUGAUCGUGUUAGUACGAGCAUUUUUUAUACGUGAUUUUUUUACAUGUUGUAGGAACUAGAUUUUAAUUUAUUUUUUGGAGGUCGUUUAAAUGACACAAGGUACAGUAAAAUGGUUUAACGCAGAAAAAGGUUUCGGUUUCAUCGAGGUUGAAGGUGGAAACGACGUAUUCGUACACUUCUCAGCUAUUCAAGGUGAAGGUUUCAAAUCACUUGAAGAAGGUCAAAAAGUUGAAUUCGGCGUUGAAGAAGGCAACCGUGGCCCACAAGCUACUAACGUUGUUAAACUUUAAUUCUUAAAUUUGAAUUAAUUUUUGAGCACAAGAGAGAGACAUCCAUUUAUGGGUGUCUCUUUCU
rnacentral:sRNA from 1 species